UGGCUCANAACGAACGCUGGCGGCAGGCUUAACACAUGCAAGUCGAACGCCCCGCAAGGGGAGUGGCAGACGGGUGAGUAACGCGUGGGAACAUACCCUUUCCUGCGGAAUAGCUCCGGGAAACUGGAAUUAAUACCGCAUACGCCCUACGGGGGAAAGAUUUAUCGGUGAAGGAUUGGCCCUCGUUGGAUUAGCUAGUUGGUGGGGUAAAGGCCUACCAAGGCGACGAUCCAUAUCUGGUCUGAGAGGAUGAUCCAGCCAC
rnacentral:rRNA from 1 species